CUAGAAUCUUACAUAUGCUAAUAAGCUUUUGACUGCAAUUUCGUGGUACGGUAUUUCCUGCUGGCAUCUUGGUGGUCCCACGGAGCUCCCCACCCUCCAGUGAAGGUGGCUGUCCACAACUACCACCGUUGAAACCAAAAUGGCCCCAAAGGGCCCUCAGCUCCUCAGGUCACUCCUCUGGCCUCUCCGGAUGGUGCCUCACCUUGUUGACCUGGGACAGUGGGGUCCUCACGGCUCCCGCAGGCAGCCGGCCCCGGCUGCUGUCUUCAAACAGCCUACCAGGACAGGAAGAGAAAGAGGACAACAAAAGAAAAUCAAGCUUCCUGGUCUCAGUGCAGGUUUUUACUGCCAGACCCUGUGCUAAGCUCUUUAUGUGCCUCGACUCAUGACAGCUCCACAAGCUAAGAGCAGGCAUGACCCUCACAGCAGAGGCGAUGUGGAGACAGGGAGGCUGAGUGCCUGGCCUAAGCUAGGGAGAUGCAGAACUGGGAUUCCGACACAGGUCAGUUUGACAUCCUAAUCCCCACCCAGUAUCCUACUGACCUAAGUAUUUUGCAGAGUCUAUAAGGCACAGAAGGAAGUCUUCAUUUAGGGGAGGAGGCUGCUCAAAGGCCCUUGAUGCAAGGGAGCAAUUUUGAGAAAGCCUGUACUCAUCUGCCAAUUCUGUCUCACUCGUCGGCCUGGUGUUUGGUCACCUCUCCUUCCAGGUGGCUUUCCAAGCAUCUUUGUGGCACCCAAUACUGACGUGAGAGGGAUCAGGCCUGACAGAAUUAGAAAACUGAGCAGGACA